rnacentral:rRNA from 1 species
UGACGAACCAUGAUGUCAUUUAUUUGGUGUUGUGGGGAAUCAGGACUGUUACUUUGAAAAAAUUAGAGCGUUUAAAGCAGGCUCACGCUUGAAUACAUUAGCAUGGAAUAAUGAAAUAGGACGUUUGAUUCUAUUUUGUUGGUUUCUAGGAUCGACGUAAUGAUUAAUAGGGAUAGUUGGGGGCAUUAGUAUUCAAUUGUCAGAGGUGAAAUUCUUGGAUUUAUUGAAGACUAACUACUGCGAAAGCAUUUGCCAAGGAUGUUUUCAUUAAUCAAGAACGAAAGUUAGGGGAUCGAAGACGAUCAGAUACCGUCGUAGUCUUAACCAUAAACUAUGCCGACUAGGGAUCGGAUGAUGUUAAUUUUUUAAUGACUCAUUCGGCGCCUUACG